rnacentral:rRNA from 1 species
UAAUACGGAGGGUGCAAGCGUUAUCCGGAUUCACUGGGUUUAAAGGGUGCGUAGGUGGGUUGGUAAGUCCGUGGUGAAAUCCCUGAGCUUAACUCAGGAACUGCCGUGGAUACUAUCAAUCUUGAAUACUGUGGAGGUAAGCGGAAUAUGUCAUGUAGCGGUGAAAUGCUUAGAUAUGACAUAGAACACCAAUUGCGAAGGCAGCUUGCUACACGGUUAUUGACACUGAGGCACGAAAGCGUGGGGAUCAAACAGGAUUAGAUACCCUGGUAGUCCACGCCCUAAACGAUGGAUACUCGACAUCAGCGAUACACUGUUGGUGUCUGAGCGAAAGCAUUAAGUAUCCCACCUGGGAAGUACGACCGCAAGGUUG